rnacentral:tRNA from 1 species
GAGGGCAUAGCUCAAUGGUAGAGUGCAUGCUUAAUGUGCACAAGGUCCUGGGCUCAAUUCCCAGUAUCAUUA